ACAUCAGACUUAAUUUACAUUUUUUUAUUAGGUGUAUAGUGUCUUGAUUACAUGCACUCAUUAAGCUGUUCGUUACGUGGCAGUAAAGCAAGAGUAUUGGGUGUUUAGAAGAAGUAUCUUACAGGAGGAUUAUUUCUUCUGGGAUAGCUUGGAAUUGGAACAAUGCGUCAACUGAAGGGAAAAGUGAAGGAAAACCGAAAGGAGAAAAGAGAGAGGAAACUAGAAAAUCUGAAAAACCAUGACAAUGCCCUUAAGAUAUGCCUGCCUGUCCUCUUAGUUAUUGCAGCCAUUAUUGUAGCUUAUGUUUACGUUUCUACAAGGCCGAAAGCAUAGCAAUGCUCAACAUUAACAUUUAUUCUGAUAGUGAAGAAAUAGUUCUUUGGUUAAGAGACUGUGAGCAAAUAUUUUCUUGGGGCAUUUUUAAAAGAGACUCUUUUUUUGAUGUGUGAGUUCAUUGCCAAGGUUGUAUCCAUGAUAAUUACUCUUACAGGUGCUAAAAAACAGAUUUUUAAUCACGAUUCUCUCAUAAACAUAUCUGUCUUUAAUUUUUUAUGUGUAUAGGUUGAAUAAAUUCCCUACAGCAGUGGCAAAAAAUAUAUUUGAGAUUGAACAUGGGCAUUUUUUUUUUUACAUGUAUAAUUUUAAGAUACAGAUGCAGUAUUGUAUAUAGCUGUUGCUCAGGUGUGCAUAUAUUUUGUACUUACCGGUAUUAAUGUGAUAUAAGAAUAAAUUGUACAUGUAUUAUGAUACAUAUUACUUUCACCUUUCUGUAUGAGAAUUAUUACAGAUUUUAUGUAACUGUGUUUGAGCUGUAAUUUGUUAAUACCUUUGCAGAAAGCAUUUUCAAUUAUGAUAUCAGAUACAUUAGAAUUAGUAGAGAAUAAUAUUUUUGUAAUCCAAUCACAAAUAAAUGUAGUUCGCAAAAAACAGCCAAAUUCCAGUUUAAAUCAUGUUAAAUCUUCAAUUUAUGCUCCUUUGUUUUACAUGUGUAAUUUUUGCUGUUUGUUAUGAAAUGGUACGAGAAACAUCUCAUAGGGACACAUAUGAAAAUCUUAUAAUUCUAAAAUAAGUAUCAUGAAAAAAGUUGGGUGUUUGUGAGAGUUUUUUUUUUCUUUUUAAUUUGCAUAUGACAUGUAUGAGGCAGAUCUCAGUUAUUUUCAAUUGUUGCUUUUUUUGAGGAAUUGCUUUCUGUGCAUGCUUACAUUCAACUUAUUUUUCUUACAGAAGGAAUUAUGACCAUUUAUUGAUGAACAAAAUUGUCCUCUUAAACAACAUCAUUCUUUUAUUCGUAAUUAUACCAAGAUUUUUUAUGUCAUUUUAUAAACCAAGAUUCACUGCACA